AUGACAGGAAGGGGACCGCGCCCUUGUCCUGUCCAUGGGCUGGCACGGGGGCACCAUUUUUCAGAUGAGGAAGCAGAGCUCAGAGAGGGUGAGCCACUUUCCCCACGUCACACAGCAGAGCCAAAGGGAGGGAAGAGCACAGACCCAAAGGAUUGGCAGACGCAAGGGCUUCGGACCAGCAACCCUCAGUUAAAUCAGCCUGGCAGAUGCCUCUGCCAGUGCCUGGAUCCCUCCCGUCACAGAUGUGGUGCUCCAAUCUCCAGACCCACAGGGACAAGAGGUCCCAUCAGCACCUCAGCCAGAAGCAGAAGGAGGACCAGGCCCUGGCUGCUGCUCUCCCUGAUGGCCAGAGACUCUGGUGCGGCCACACCACAGCCACAGGAACCCCGCCGCCUGCAUCCGACCGCCUAACACGCGUCUGGGGAGGCUGUAGUGGAGACGCCCGCGCUGCAGAGGCCGCGGCGGGGGCAGGGACUCGGGGAGGCUCCGCGGGCUUUGCGGGGUCUGUAGGGAGUGUGAGCAAGGCUGAGGGUCACAAGGGUCUCCUCCGUCACAGCCAAGCCCUGGCAACUUUGCCUUGGGGGGCACAGUGAAGAGGCCCAGCUGACAACAGCCCCCUGGACUUAAAAAAAUUUUUUUUCCAGGGAUCGAAGUCAGGUUCUUGUGCUGGUGAGGCAGGCGGCGGAACCACUGAGCUAAAUCCCCAGCCCUUAACUAUUUCAUUUUUAUUCAUUUAUUCUCUUUUUUUUUUUUUUUGAGACAGGGUCUCACUAUGUAGCCCAGGCAGGCCUCAAACUCGCAGCAAUCCUCCUGCCUCGGCCUCCCAAAUGCUGGGAUGAUAGACAUGCGCCACCACGCCUGGCCACGCUGGGCUUUUAAAACAUAGACAUAGGGUGUGACCUGGGAACCUUGUCGAAGAUUUAAUAACAGCGACAUGAAACAGGGAUUCUCGUCCGGCGUGAUCCCCACCCUGGACUCUGGCGAUGUCUGGGGACACCUGUGGCUGUCACAACCUGGGGAGCCCCUGGCACAGAGCGCUGGAGGCCAGGGCCAUGCUCAGCACCUGCAGUGCAGAGAGCGACUCAGCCCCAGGCUCCCCAGGGCCCAGGAGGGGACUAACGUCACCUGACAGUCGGGAUCCCUCUGCCCCAAGCUGCUCAAGAAACGGACGGAGCUGAGCUGGCCCAGCGCGGGGCCUGAGGCCCCAACCUACUGUGGGCUGAGUUGUGGAAUCCGGGCCCCGCCGCCUCCCGCUCCGCGGCCGGAAAGCCCCCCUCGGCAGGCCCGGCAGGCGCGGGUCUUUGUUGGCCUUUUCUUGUUCUCCUAAGC
rnacentral:lncRNA from 1 species